UACGGAGGAUGCGAGCGUUAUCCGGAUUUAUUGGGUUUAAAGGGUGCGUAGGCGGAUUGAUAAGUCAGUGGUGAAAUUCUGCAGCUUAACUGUAGACUUGCCGUUGAUACUGUUAGUCUUGAGUGUGGUCAAGGCAGGCGGAAUGUGUAAUGUAGCGGUGAAAUGCUUAGAUAUUACACAGAACACCGAUUGCGAAGGCAGCUUGCUGGGUCAUUACUGACGCUGAUGCACGAAAGCGUGGGGAUCAAACAGGAUUAGAUACCCUGGUAGUCCACGCCGUAAACUAUGAUCACUCGCUGUUGGCGAUACACGGUCAGCGGCUAAGCAAAAGCAUUAAGUGAUCCACCUGGGGAGUACGGCCGCAAGGCUGAA
rnacentral:rRNA from 1 species